CAGCGCCACGAGUGGCAAUCGUGUAUUUGGCCUAAAGCGUCCGUAGCCGGAUUUGUAAAUCUUUUGUGAAAUCGUUGAGCUCAACUUAACGGCGUGCAGAAGACACUGCGAGUCUUGAGACCGGGAGGAGAUAGAGGUAUUCUAGGGUGAGCGGUAAAAUGCUAUAAUCCCUGGAGGACCACCAGUGGCGAAGGCGUCUAUCCAGAACGGGUCUGACGGUGAGGGACGAAAGCCAGGGGAGCGAACCGGAUUAGAUACCCGAGUAGUCC
rnacentral:rRNA from 1 species